GUUAGGAAUAUUGGACAAUGGGCGCAAGCCUGAUCCAGCCAUGCCGCGUGAACGAUGAAGGCCUUCGGGUUGUAAAGUUCUUUAGCCGAUGAUUAUAAUGACUGUAGUCGGAAAAUAAGCCCCGGCUAACUUCGUGCCAGCAGCCGCGGUAAUACGAAGGGGGCGAGCGUUAUUCGGAAUCACUGGGCGUAAAGCGUGCGUAGGCGGUCUCGUAAGUUAGGAGUGAAAGCCCAGGGCUCAACCUUGGAAUUGCUCUUAAAACUGCAAGGCUAGAAUCUCGGAGAGGAUAGCGGAAUUUCCAGUGUAGCAGUGAAAUGCGUAGAUAUUGGAAGGAACACCAGUGGCGUAAGCGGCUAUCUGGACGAGUAUUGACGCUGAGGCACGAAAGCGUGGGGAGCAAACAGGAUUAGAUACCCCUGUAGUCC
rnacentral:rRNA from 1 species